CCUACGGGAGGCAGCAGUGAGGAAUAUUGGUCAAUGGGCGCGAGCCUGAACCAGCCAAGUAGCGUGAAGGAUGACUGCCCUACGGGUUGUAAACUUCUUUUAUAAAGGAAUAAAGUGAGGCACGUGUGCCUUUUUGUAUGUACUUUAUGAAUAAGGAUCGGCUAACUCCGUGCCAGCAGCCGCGGUAAUACGGAGGAUCCGAGCGUUAUCCGGAUUUAUUGGGUUUAAAGGGAGCGUAGACGGGUUGUUAAGUCAGAUGUGAAAGUUUGCGGCUCAACCGGAGAAUUGCAAUUGAUACUGGCAGUCUUGAGUACUGUUGAGGUAGGCGGAAUUCGUGGUGUAGCGGUGAAAUGCUUAGAGAUCACGAAGAACUCCGAUUGCGAAGGCAGCUUACUAAACUACCACUGACGUUGAGGCUCGAAAGUGUGGGUAGCAAACAGGAUUAGAUACCCGAGUAGUC
rnacentral:rRNA from 1 species